GGGCCCGUAGUUCAGCUGGGAGAAUGCCGCAUUCGCAUUGCGGAGGUCAGCGGUUCAAAUCCGCUCGGGUCCACCA
rnacentral:tRNA from 1 species